rnacentral:rRNA from 1 species
UACGAAGGGGGCUAGCGUUGUUCGGAAUUACUGGGCGUAAAGGGCGCGCAGGCGGCUCUGCAAGUCAGAUGUGAAAGCCCCGGGCUCAACCUGGGAACUGCAUUUGAGACUGGAGAGCUCGAGUUCGGGAGAGGAGAGCGGAAUUCCCAGUGUAGAGGUGAAAUUCGUAGAUAUUGGGAAGAACACCGAUGGCGAAGGCAGCCAUCUGGACCGACACUGACGCUGAGGCGCGAAAGCGUGGGGAGCAAACAGG